UAGAAAUCGCUGUAGAUUUAGCAGCACAGUACUGUAAAAACCUACAGUACAAUACCAUAUUUCUUCAUUACAGUAAAAUACUUCAUUUUAUGUUGCAUUGUGGGUAAUUUUGAUGAAGCGGGAAUAUUUUACAGUGAAUUUUAGGCUUGCUGUAACCAUAGACAGUAUAUAGUAACCUGGCUGUAAUAUGCCAUGGCAAUAAUACAGCAUUGCUGUAAAAAACAACUCCUGAUGUCAGUUACUCAGACAGAACAUCAACUGGCCCCAGAUACUGAAGGAGAAGCCUUGCUAGCGGAGGAUGUUUGGAAGUGUUGAUCACUGCAGCCUAAGCAGACAUGGAGGCACAUCAGAUGACCAGACAGACACCCCCACCCUCAUUAUGAUGGUGGAUCUAUUGAGGGAAUUGUCAUCAUGAGAGCUGGACAGCAGUGAAACAUUUGCAGCUGCCUGCUGCUGCUCUUUGUGGAAACAUGUUGAAGGAUAUCAACACUAUCACAUUUGACUGAAAGUUGCUGCAGGUCUCUGGGCUGAACUUGCAGGAAAAAUGUGAAUG